rnacentral:rRNA from 2 species
AACUUUUAACAACGGAUCUCUUGGUUCUCGCAUCGAUGAAGAACGUAGCAAAGUGCGAUAACUAGUGUGAAUUGCAUAUUCAGUGAAUCAUCGAGUCUUUGAACGCAACUUGCGCUCAUUGGUAUUCCAAUGAGCAUGCCUGUUUCAGUA